CUUACAGAGAUCCAUCUGCUCUGCCUCUCAAGUUCUGAGAUUAAAGGUGUGCACCACCACUGCCUGGCUUCAAAAAUGUUUUAAUUGAAAGGAUUCUUUGAAAAGCUUGUUGAAAAUAGGUACUCAAAAUUUAUGCAUUUUUAUAAUUAAAAAGUUUCAUUUAAUCUAUUCUAAUCAUGGUUUCCCCUCUCCAACUCCUCUCAGAUCCUCCCCACCUCCCCAGCCCCCCCUUUUUUUCUUUUUAGAAAAUGAACAAUAGAACUCACCAGAUUCCAUUGCACAGUGAGUUGUCCAUGCCAUGGCCUUUGCAGUGAGUCCCUCUUCCGUUGCCAAUCCACAUCAUGGCCUUUGCAGUGAGUGCCUCCUCCAUCCCUGAUCCACAUCAUGGCCUUUACAGUGAGUCCCUUCUCCAAUUCCCGAUCCCUGGCAAACAGGAAUUUGUUUUCUCACAUCAGUUUUCUUUUUUAGGAAUUCAUAGCCGUGGAAUCAUUGUGGAGUCACUGUUGUGUUUGGAUCACAAACACAUGCCACUCUGCCCAGCAUUUUUAAUGUCAAAAGCUGUGAGGAUGUGAAACUGGAGUUUCUACCACUUAGGAUGCGUGCUGGUAGAGAAAGUGUCAUCAGCAUCAGAAGAAACUGAUUCAAUACACUACCUUCACUUCUUCAUUUCUGUGGUGCUGAGGAUAAAACCCAGAGUAUCUCAAAAGCUAGGUAAGUGCUGUAGCCCUGGGCCACAUAACAGCUUCUCCUGAUUUUUUCUCCCCAGUAAAUUAGAUUGAUUUAGCUCUUUUCACAUUAGGUCUUAACAGUCCAAGAAGAUGCACUAGUUUCAAAAAUCUAGUGUUAUUGACAUGAUGCUUAUGGUUUGGGCUCUGAUGACACAGUAUAAAAUUGACAGAUUGAUUUCAUUGGGACUUUACAGACUUGUGCACUGUAGUUGUUAACAUUUAAGUUUACAUAAAGAAUGGCAUAGUUAUGAGCAGUUCAAAUGUCUUAAUUAGCACUGGAACACACACAGUGAAAUGUAAGCAUGUUCUUUGAAAGCUUAUUUGUAAUUUUAUAACAUUUAGCCAAACGGUUCUUAACUCUGGUGCUGUAGGAGGUUCUUCUGUUCGUGUGUUGCUUUCAUUGGUUAAUGAAUAAAGAAACUGCUUUGGGCCUGAUAGGGCAGAACUUUGGUAGGUGGUGAAGACAGAACUGAAUGCUGGGAAGAAGGGCAGAAUAAGAGAUGCCAUGAAUCUUCUGCCUGAAAUGGAUGCUGGUUAGAAUCUUGCCGGAGUGCUGGGACUACAGAUGGAUACCUCCAUAUCUGACUUUUUAUGUACACUCCAGGGAGCAAACUCAAUUAGUCAGGCUUGCCUGUCAAGUACUCUUACCAAGUGAACCAUCUAAUCAGUUUGGGCAUGUUUUUGAGGGAGAUUCAAGAUUGGGUUAAUAAAGGUAAGAAAACUCACUCUAAUUGUGGGUGGCACUUCCCCUGCUUUCAGACUAUCUAUAGGAGAAAGGACAUUGAGUAUCAAUAUUUAUCUCUCUUGACUUCUUGAUUACAGAUACAAUAUAACUGGCUUCAUCACCCUCCCUGUCAUGAAGGACUGACUGUACCCUGAAACUGUGAGCACAAGCAAACCCUUCUUCAUAAAGGUCUUUUUCGUCAGACAUUCUGUCACAGCAAAAGGAAAAAUAACUAGUAUAGCAAAGACUGAGAAGCACUGGUCCAUCCUAUAUGCACUUUGAGGAAUUCAGGUUACCCACACAUGACAUUUUGCUGACCUCUCCCUGAACCUAAUUCCCUGCAGCUAGCUCAACACUAGCCACCAAGCUGCUGUUUGUUUUCAUGCUAUUUAUUGUCUGGAUUGGCAUUAAUUUUUGUGAAACUGGCCAGAAAUAUGAUCAGAAAUAAGCUCUGUAUUCCUUGAUUAUUAUUAUUAUCAUUAUUGUUGUUAUUAUUAUUUUAGACAGGGUCUCAUUAUGCAACACUGG